AUGUAUACAAGUAUCGAGGAAGCUAAUAACCAUUACAGUAAUUACGUAUUAAAUAAUUUAGUAGCCGAACAAUCAAACCCAGUGUGUUUGAUAAAUGCGGAUUGCACGAACAAAAUAAAAGGAACUUCAUGCAACCGCGAUUAUUGUAGUAGUAGUAACUUAAAUACUACGAACAUAUAUAAUACUGUUAUGUGUAACAAACCAAUGGAUAUAAAAUAUAAUAAUACUAAUAAUAAUAAUAAUAAUAGUAAUAUUAAUAUUAAUAAUAAUAAUAAUAGUAAUAAUAAUAAUAAUAAUAAUAAUAAAAGUAAUAAUAAUAAUAAUAAUCACGAUGUAAAUAUGUGCAAUAAUUCCGUAUUUGUUAUUAAUAAGUAUAAUUUAAACAACAAAAAUUUAAAUAAUAAUAGUAACGAAUACAUAAACAUAAAUACUCCAGUGUGUAAUAAAAAUCCUAUGCAAAAUAUGUACAUCAUAAACAACCAUAUGUCAACUUGUUGUCACAAUUUAAAUAACAUGACAUACUGUAACGGAUAUACCACAAUAAAUGAUAAUAGCAAACUGAGCCAAAGCCAAUAUUUAAACAUAAAGAAAAGUAAACUGAUCAACAAUUUAAAUUUUUUUAUGCGAGUCUGUUGUAAUAAAAAAUCGUACAUAAACUUCAUUAAUCAUUAUUUUAACAUAAUAUACAGUAAAGAUAUUAAUAUAUUAUUUAAGUAUGAAUGCAUUUUGCAAAAAUUUGUGUUUGAAAAUGAACAGAAUUUAACAGAAACUGAUUAUUAUGAUGCAUAUGUUAAAUUAAACAAAAUCCCCAUUUUGAUAAAAGAUAACAGCUCAUUUAAUAAUAUGACAUUUGAUAUAAAUAAUGAUAACGUUGAUAAUAAUAAUGAAAAUAAUAAUAUGUACUUAAUGAAUAAUAAUAGUAACUUAAAAAGUAAUGUAUUAAGAUUUAUACAAGUAUAUGACAGUUUAACUGCUAAUUUUUUUAAAUAUAUAUUCACAAAAAUAAAUAAUGAGGAGAUAAAUAUACAUAGUUUUAAUGUUGAUAAUAUAAUACAUAAUUUUUUAAAUAAAAAAAAUUUAUUAAAAGAAAAUGUUUUUAAUUUAUUAUUAAAUAUAAAUAAAACUUAUCAAAUAAAAUACAAUUCAGUUAUUGGGGAUAUAUUAAAUGAAGAAUAUAUAAAAGAAAAAAAUGAAAAAAUAAUUUUUGAGAUGUUAAAAAAUAAAGUAGAACGUAUGUCCAAUUCAUUAAAUAAGGAAAACGAAUUUAAUAUGUUUAAUGAGGAUAAUAAUAAUGAUAUUAGCAAUGACAGUAGUAAUGACAGUAGUAAUGACAGUAGUAAUGACAGUAGUAAUGGCAGUAGUAAUGAUAGUAGUAAUAAUAGUAGUAAUAAUAGUAAUAAUCUUAGUAACAAUUUUAGUAAUAAUCUUAGUAA
rnacentral:lncRNA from 1 species